AGAGUUUGAUCAUGGCUCAGAUUGAACGCUGGCGGCAUGCCUUACACAUGCAAGUCGAACGGCAGCACGGGGGCAACCCUGGUGGCGAGUGGCGAACGGGUGAGUAAUAUAUCGGAACGUGCCCUGGAGUGGGGGAUAACGUAGCGAAAGUUACGCUAAUACCGCAUACGAUCUACGGAUGAAAGUGGGGGAUUCGCAAGAACCUCACGCUCCUGGAGCGGCCGAUAUCUGAUUAGCUAGUUGGUGGGGUAAAAGCCUACCAAGGCGACGAUCAGUAGCUGGUCUGAGAGGACGACCAGCCACACUGGGACUGAGACACGGCCCAGACUCCUACGGGAGGCAGCAGUGGGGAAUUUUGGACAAUGGGGGCAACCCUGAUCCAGCAAUGCCGCGUGAGUGAAGAAGGCCUUCGGGUUGUAAAGCUCUUUUGUCAGGGAAGAAACGGUUUGGCCUAAUACGCUGGACUAAUGACGGUACCUGAAGAAUAAGCACCGGCUAACUACGUGCCAGCAGCCGCGGUAAUACGUAGGGUGCAAGCGUUAAUCGGAAUUACUGGGCGUAAAGCGUGCGCAGGCGGUUAUGUAAGACAGAUGUGAAAUGCCCGGGCUUAACCUGGGAACUGCAUUUGUGACUGCAUGGCUAGAGUGUGUCAGAGGGGGGUAGAAUUCCACGUGUAGCAGUGAAAUGCGUAGAUAUGUGGAGGAAUACCGAUGGCGAAGGCAGCCCCCUGGGAUAACACUGACGCUCAUGCACGAAAGCGUGGGGAGCAAACAGGAUUAGAUACCCUAGUAGUCC
rnacentral:rRNA from 1 species